AGGAGGACUUUUGAAGCGGAGGAUUUAAUUAAACAAAAAGCGGCAGUACAAAGACUGGAAAACUCACAAGGUAAUGCAUAAACUGACGGGCAAAAACACAGGCAGGAA